rnacentral:lncRNA from 1 species
CUCGCAGUCUCAAGGGAGCCCUUUUUUUCUUCCCCUGACCCUGAUGAUCUCUUCCUAGAGUUUUUGUGACCAAAGUGCUCCUAUCCCUAUGGAAGUGCCUCAGACAAGUAUGAGAACUUGGUGGUUUAGAAAUAAACUGGACAAUAUCAGUGAGAAGUAGGGUGGGAUCAAGAUUCCAGAAUAAAGAGGACAUGACCAGAGCACCAAGCCUGACCUCAAAGAGAACUUCAGCCAACAAGUCUUCAGGUGCUCCUUCCUGUAGCAGAUGGUCCAGUUCACAGCCACAUCAGGUGGAUAAACCUGUGCUGUCAGGCUGUAACCCCAGGAAAUCGCCUCACUAUCUUUUUUAGCCAAAUAGAUAGUUGGUCUCCAGGAACAUCCUGCUUCCCCUGUAUUUUCCAUCUUGUGUGUUGGGUAACAACGUAUUUCCCAAGGAGCAUUUCCUUCGCAAACAUGAUUUUUCCGGCCCAGGAAAUUAUUAUUAAACAACUCUAGCUUACUAAGUACUGUGAUGUUGCUUUAAGAUAUAAAUAUCAAAUAUCUAUGACACAUUGCCCUUGUUCUCUAGCUUGUAUGGAGGACACAACCUAAAGUGACCCUCCAAUAAGUAAUAUCUUUGCAUAAUCUGCUCCCCUUGAGAAUAGGCAAAACCUAUGACUGACUUGCUGCUAAGCAGUAGAAUAUAGCAAAGGUGA